UUUCACAAUUUUCAAUUUCAUUCAUUUAACUUAAUUUAUCCCUUUAUUCAUAUCUUGAACAAUUACAUGAAAAAUACGAAAACAACCCUGAAAAUUUUUCUUUUCUGGAAAAUAUCAGUAUAUGGUAUUCUCAUGAACAUAUAUUUUUCUGGAAUUUUUCAAUUUUUUUUACUAUUUUUAAAUAGGCUAAAAUAGUCCAAAAUUGUAACAUUUAUUGAAAAUUAUCCUUUUCUCCCAAAAUUCUGAAAUUUAUAGGGUAGCUACAUAUCAUCAAACACAGCCUCCUGUAAAAAUUUCACAUUUAAUUUCUUUGAGUUGUAGAUUCGAAAAAUUCCCAUUUUGGACAGAACCUAGUUAACUUGAUAUAUUAUCAUACCACAAAAGGCUAGAAUUUUUAGAGCAUCAAAAGUGGCCGAAAUUGCCCUCUUAGUAAACUGGCCAAGAAACCCUAAGGGUUUUCCAGAUUUUUCUUCACAGUUUUACCAAAAAGGACACCACGGUUGAUCCGUUUAACAUUUUUGAGUGCUACCACUUGGGUUCAUCAGAUAACUCAUGUAUCAAACUCACCUCUUUAACGGACCACAAAAAUAAAUUAAAGAAUUCAAAUGGUGGAAAUCUACAAUGGUGGAAGUCCAAAGUGGAUUGAAAUUUAGGGCUUUCUGAGUGUAAAAACUGUUUUAGUUCUUCUUCUUUGUUUAAGCUCAUCAACCCUAAAAAUGGCAAGAUCUAAGCAUAAAACAUCAUAAUACAUCUUAAUACUUCUUAUACUCAAGGAUCUACCAUGAUCCAUCAUCUAUUUCAUCAAAAUCCAAGAACAUAAGCUAAGAAAUCAAACUAGGGUUUGAGAUUUUAUACCUUUGGUGAUCUUCCUCUUGAUUUCCUCUUCCUUUCUUCUCUUCUCUUCUCUUCUCUACCUUCUUUAAUGGCUGACAUCCUCUCUCUCCUUUCCUCUUCUUUGGUCGGGUGGGGUGAGAAGAUGAGAGAAAAUGUUUCAUUUCUGUCUUCCUUUCCUCUAUUAAAUGAAUUAGAUAAAGUGGGGAACUAGAU
rnacentral:lncRNA from 1 species